rnacentral:rRNA from 1 species
GCGAUCAUACCAGCACUAAUGCACCGGAUCCCAUCCGAACUCCGAAGUUAAGCGUGCUUGUCCGAGAGUAGUACUAAGAUGAGUGACCCCCUAGGAAGUCCUCGUGCUGCACCCC